AUGACGUGGCAGGGAGAGAGAGUGGCUAGCCUUGACUGGCCUAAAGCCAUUGUGGAUGCUCUUAGGCUAUGAGUUGUGCAUCAGAUCCUUGAAUUCUGCAUAUUUCUCUAUCAUUUUCUACAACUUGCUUCUUUGUUCUCUUGUGUUUACACUUAAUUGUCUCUGUGGGAUACGAUAUACUCUUGUUUGUUGUUUGCUACGAUAACCCCGUACACUUGCGGGUAUUAUUUGAGUAAAAUAAAGUUGAGUCCGGGACGGAGUGACAUUUUGUUAUU